UUAACUAUAGCUAUUACAAGCAAAAUCACUGUUAAUGAUUAGAUAAGUCCGCACUUUAGUUAAG
rnacentral:tRNA from 1 species